AGCGCAAGUUAGAUUUAAGGAGCAGGAGGAUGUCUACUUCAGCCUUGAAGCUAUGCAUCAACUGCAUCCCAGCUUUUUACCAGACAGAACCACACGACGCUAUGUGAGAAUGGGAAUCAAAAGAUCUUCCUGCCAGAGCUGGCGUAAGCAUUCAAAGAGGUAAAGGCCAUACAUCUCUUACCACAGAGGCUGGAAUAUACCACAUGUAGAAGAUGGUAGCUGGUGUGUGUGUGUGUGCACACACACAUGUGUGACGCUCACAGUGACCUGCACCAAACAACACAAAAAUGGAUGAACACAUGUGGACUUGAACAGAGUUGAGUCAUGUGCUGGGAACAGCAGUUUUUGGAUUCCAAGGCGAAGCUAUAAACUGAAAGAACAGUCCACUGACAACAUUUGUGCCUUUGCUUCUUUGGCUCCAGGAAGCUCCUGAGACACAAGAAUUUCUGGAACUCAGCCCUGCAAAGUUGAGAGUCUGCAUUUCUCCUCCGGCACUCAAACAUAUGCACUGCAUCCGCAGACACAACAGUUGACCCGCUCUCUGCACACCAACCAGCUCUGCAGAAAUGCACCGGGCAGAGGAAGGGAGAAAGGACAUCCCCUCCACCAGCAUUACUGUCUUUGGAUUGAAGGACAGGUUCCUGUUACCUCUCUUCCUUGACCAUGAGCAAUCAGUAGACCCCUGAGAUGGCCUCUAAACCUAGGUGGUAGGUCUGAUAUUGCUCUAAGUUUCUCAUGUAAGUGUCUGCUCCCCAGCUCCAUAAGGAAGCUACAGAUUAAAAGGAGACUGAGCUAAUUAUUUAUUUUUCCCUGGCACUUGGGAAGUGCUGAACUUCAGAAGUCCUUUACCCACUGAAGAUAAUGGGGAAUUCAACCAAGAUUUGGGACUUGCGUGCAUGCAGUUCAACUCCCAGAAAAGCACCAUCUCUAGGUCAGUCUCCCAAAGCAACAGAAAUAAGAACAAAAAUAAACCAAUGGGACCUCAUCAAACUGACAAGCUUUUGCACAGCAAAGGAAACCCAAAAGAAAACAAAAA
rnacentral:lncRNA from 1 species